rnacentral:lncRNA from 1 species
GAUGCUUUAUUAUUGGUAGGGGCAUGCAAUUGUCCUGAUGGGGGACACGAUCGCAACAAAUGUAUACAGGAAACCCCAGUACCAGCCAAUUAUCAUACCGAACUGGUCACCGGACCCAGUAUCCUUCAAAAAAUCAGCCUUCUGAGCCUUCUUCAGAAGAGCAUAUAAGUACUGCACGAACCAGAUAGACCUACAACAAGAAGUCCACUACAUCUAUCAAUUAGGAAAACAGCAUGGGUACCAGAUUGGCUUUAUACGGUCUAUACAAGAACAACAUGGGUACCAGAUUGGCUUUAUACGGUCUAUACAAGAUAGUCAGAAGAACCAUCGACCACCACUCGUCGGACACAACCAAUGAAAAUAGGAAGGAAGACCAAGACCCCAAAUAUAUCCCAAUACCGUAUAGACUAACCAAACUUAACUCCAUAAAAAACAUGUUUAAAAAAACG